GUUAACCCUUCCCCAGCCAGUCUUCGAUCGUGCCAGGCCUUCCCCAAUUUGCUGCAGUCUCGCCUCCCCCCACUUUCUCUUGUCUGUCUCCCUCUCCCACUCCCGGCGACGUCAGAGCCGAGCGAAAUCAAACAUUGAAGUGCACCAGACUUCUGAGCCAGGGAAGGGAGGCGGGGGACAAUGCAAUAAUCUCUCCUUCACUCUCAAAAAGCAGCAAACAGCAAUUUUCGCUCGGUCUCUCUGAAAAUGCAGCGAACAAGGAAAGGAAUUACAUGAGAGGAAAAAUGCAGGAGCAGCAGCAGCAGAAAGGAGCUCUGGACUGGAUCAAAAUGUAUCUGCUCUGCUAUUGGAAUCACUGGAUCCCAUCCUCGUCACCAGUUUUAUGGAUUGAAGGAAAGGAAGAGACGAGAGCCAGGACGUCCAAAAAAUCAGGAAUGCACAGAAUCUGAGUGGAGACCUUUGCCUACAAUGAAAUGUAAUGCAGCAAGUGAACUGGAAACACUGCCUAAUUUCUCACAAGAAAGAAAAUAUUAUCUUUGAUGAGAAGCAGAAAAGGAUAGGCAGUGGUGGACUGGAUGCAGCUAUCAUUCCUUUACAAGUGAUAUUUACAACUAGAUGAGCUCAAACUUCUCUCUCUGUUCCUUUCACCUAUGUGACGGAUAAGCAGCGAAAGAAAAGAUGGAAGCAAUGAAUCAAGGUUCCAGCUGUUUUCACCUGGUAAAUCACUCUAAAAUAAAGCUUUUUUUUUAGUUUUCUGAAACUUCCUGCUUCUGGCCAAGUCUAUUUCUUAACCUAGAUUGCUAUCCAAAAUAAAUGCUGCUACUUAUACGCUCCAUACCUAAUUUCCACUUUGAAAUAUAAAACAACUAAUUAUAUCUGCUGAGGCUAGAAGAACUUAAUAUCUCCAAUUUAAAACUUCACUCUCCCCUAUGGAGACCAUCUCACAGAUUUAUCUCACAGUUUCUCCUUUCUUCAUUGGGUCUUAUCCUAAGACUCCUUGAUCCGGAUUUGUCUAAUUUAGAGUGUUUCCCUGGGCAAUUCCUGGAAAAAGACAUCAAACUUUUUACAGCCAAUGCUGACUACAUUCAUCUUAGUUUGUCAACCAUUACACUUCUCUCUCUCUCUCUCUCUCUCUCUCUCUCUCUCUCUCUCUCUCUCUCCUUCCCCAAAGUUUCAUUUUUCUUGUCAUAAGUCGUUUUUUAAAGAUUUUGCCUGUGCUUAGCAGCCCACACCUUUCUCCUUUGAGAAAAAUCUUGCUGUGGGAAAUUAAGCUUCCUCCUACUCACAGCUUUUACUUAUCAGUUAACCAGAACAGCAUGUCUAUUGGGAUUUCUGGGUAGCUACAUGGCAGGAUACUAAACAGCCAUGGGCUACAGCAGUUUGUCAAAGAUGAUACAAGCUAUCUAAGACUUAAUGUGAAUAAUGCAAUAAUAAAGACUAUGCACCUAUGUGACUGGAAAGAAAACCAAUAUUUGUUUAUAAAUAUACAUGUUAACAACUUUUAUCUACCUCCACUACCCUUUGAAGUACCUAACAUAUAAAGUAGAUUGCCUUCCAGAUAUAUUAAAGAUGCACAAAUAAUAUUGAAGACCCUCAGUGAAAAAUAAGGUACUUUAAAAAUAAAUUGCAGGAGCAGAUCAUUUUAAAAUGUAAUAGAAGAAUUAGGAUUCCCACACUCCCAAGUUUUGAAGAGUCAUAUAAGUGGUUUAUGUGGAAUAUACUUCAGUUAAAGAGGCAUCUUAGCCAAGUGAGAGACUAUGUAUUUCUCAUCCAGGUUGCAUGGUAGAGACUUCAUCUCUAGAUCAAAAAAGUGCCAGAAGAUGGGAAAGAGAUCAGAGAAAAUGGUUUGCAAUUAGAAGAGAUGACUUUUGGCUGGAUGUCCAAUCUUUCUAAUUUAAGACAAUUGUUUUCUGACUGGUUGAGUUUUAUUUUGUUUUGGGAGUAGCUUAAAUGUCAUUUUUAGUUCUGUUACCAAUUGUUAGACAGAAGAAAGCUAAAAUGUAUGUAUCCAUGAGGUUUCAGAAUAGUAGGCUCUUAACAGCUAUGUACUUUUUGUUGUUUAAAACUAUUUAUUCUAUUCUGUCUACUCUAGAAACUGGUGAGAUACAAGACUGUUUUCCAUAGCGAAUGUGUAUUAGGUUAAUUUUUCUUCAGUAGUCACAUAAUAAAUAGAUGUCUUCCAAAUUUCAUCAAAAUAUUGUAAAUUUUCUCAUAUGCCCUAAAUUGUACUGCCGAUUUACCACUGAUGUUUGCACAAGCUUAAUACUCUGGUUAUUCCAAGAGAUCAAAAUACUGAUCACAGAAAACAAUUACUUUUAAAACAUUUGUGUGUUGGGAGUCAUCUCACAGACACGUCUAAUUGGGAAAGCAAAUUUAAUUUGAUCAAAUGUACAAAAAAGGAGCAAACACACACACAAUAAAAUUCCAAUUGUUAUGUUACAUUGUGCUUGUUAUAUUAUGUAGUCCUGUUAUUUAAACAAUUCAAGGCAGUGAACAUAUUCAACACCUUUCUCCUAUUUUCCCCACUACAACAAUGCUGUGAAGUGACUAGGACUGAGAGAAAGUGGCUAGUCCAUUUUUAUCCAGCUGGCAAAAUUAGUUUAAAUUCCAGGAAACAAAGCAAAGGAUAUUCUGGAAAGUGUUCAGAAACAGGCUGUUAGACUGGUUGUCCUUAGCCACUGUUUGCAAUAAUUAAAGGGACAUGCUACUUGUGUUUGAGAAAGAACAAAAUAAAAAUAAAAAUCCCAGCAUAUUCUUGGUAAAGAAAGAGAUUUUUCUAUUAGGGCGAAAAUGAUCAAAUAUCACAACCCUAUCAAUAUAUAUGCCGUUGGCAGAAUGCAAAGUAAACCCAAUUUUAAAACAUAUUAAAAUGUAGGCAGCUUGGAUUUUGCUUCACUUGAAAUGAAGGUAGAAUGAACAUUUUGAACUUUUCCAUUCCUUUAUAUUAUGUUUGUAAAAAGACCCUGUUCGUUUCUCCAUCAGUAGAAACCCAGUUUGGAAGAAGUUGUUUAAAACUGUCCCACAGUUCUACAGUGACUCUCAGAAAUAGCCUUUUCAGUGAUUAUUGCUUAUCUAACCUCAACUCACCUCACCCCAACUUAACAAACAUACACUGAACAAAACCAAUAAAAAAACUUUAGUUCAGCUAGUAGAAAUCUAUAACUAAGACUUUUUGUAGUUGAAUUCUCAGAACACCAAUCAAGGAACAUUCAAGCUUGGCUUGAUCUACAAGGAGAUCUUGUUCAUAUUUAGUAUAUUUCUCCUUUAUUGGACCAUUAACUAACCAAGAAAUUUUACUGCAGUCUCUGACAAUCUUGACACUCUCCAGAUGUGUGGACUUGUUUCCCUAAUUCCAAUCCUGAUUGUACAAUUAUGAUAGAUAAUGUCUAUAUCAGUGAUUGUGAAACUUUUUCGGCACCGAGUGCCAAAAAGGGAGCAUGUGCACACUUGUCAGUUGUGCAAUCUGGAAGAGGAGCUACAAAGGGGGCAUGCACAUGCGUGCACAUGCUGGAAAAUGAACUUCCGGUUUCCAGUUUCUGGCCACCUAGUCUUCCAGUUACUGAUGCGCAUGCGCACAUGAUGAUCAGCUGGCUGCCAUACAUGCCCACGCUGGAAAACAUUUCAGUUUCCAGCACUGCCCCACACAUGAAGGACAGGUGAUCAUCACAUGCGCAUGCACACCAGAAACCCUGAAGAGGAACAGGCGAUGCCGUGCAUGUCAGGCAACAUGGCUGUGCAUGCCACUUCAGCGCACAUGACAUAGAUUUGCCUUCAUGGGUCUAUAUGCUUGGAAAGUAUUCUGUGUACAAAAGGCUAAUACACUGCUUAUAUUCCCUAAGAGAGGAAAAUGCCUUGAGGGUCAGAGGGAGAUUUAUUUAUUUAGGUUAUUCAAAUUAUCCAAAAUAGCACAUUCCAUAGUGGUUUCCCAUAUGGGAAUCAGGAUCUCCAAAAAGAAUAAUCUCGGCUUCAGAUGGACCUGGACUCUAAUUGCGCCGAGCCAGCCGGGGUACCGGGGGAGGGUCUUGAGCGACAUCUCUGGAUUG